rnacentral:rRNA from 1 species
UACGAAGGGGGCUAGCGUUGCUCGGAAUCACUGGGCGUAAAGGGCGCGUAGGCGGAUCUUUAAGUCGGGGGUGAAAGCCCAGGGCUCAACCCUGGAAUUGCCUUCGAUACUGAAGAUCUCGAGACCGGAAGAGGUAAGUGGAACUGCGAGUGUAGAGGUGAAAUUCGUAGAUAUUCGCAAGAACACCAGUGGCGAAGGCGGCUUACCGGUCCGGUUCUGACGCUGAGGCGCGAAAGCGUGGGGAGCAACAGG